AUUGAACGCUGGCGGCAUGCCUUACACAUGCAAGUCGAACGGUAGAGGGGCAACCCUCGAGAGUGGCGAACGGGUGAGUAAUGCAUCGGAACGUACCCAGUUGUGGGGGAUAGCUCGGCGAAAGCCGGAUUAAUACCGCAUACGCACUGAGGUGGAAAGCGGGGGACUCGCAAGGGCCUCGCGCAGUUGGAGCGGCCGAUGUCAGAUUAGCUAGUUGGUGGGGUAAAGGCCUACCAAGGCGACGAUCUGUAGCGGGUCUGAGAGGAUGAUCCGCCACACUGGAACUGAGACACGGUCCAGACUCCUACGGGAGGCAGCAGUGGGGAAUUUUGGACAAUGGGGGCGAACCCU
rnacentral:rRNA from 1 species